CACGAACGCUGGCGGCGUGCCUAAUACAUGCAAGUCGAACGAAACUUUCUUACACCGAAUGCUUGCAUUCACCGUAAGAAGUUGAGUGGCGGACGGGUGAGUAACACGUGGGUAACCUGCCUAAAAGAAGGGGAUAACACUUGGAAACAGGUGCUAAUACCGUAUAUCUCUAAGGAUCGCAUGAUCCUUAGAUGAAAGAUGGUUCUGCUAUCGCUUUUAGAUGGACCCGCGGCGUAUUAACUAGUUGGUGGGGUAACGGCCUACCAAGGUGAUCAUACGUAGCCGAACUGAGAGGUUGAUCGGCCACAUUGGGACUGGGACACGGCCCAAACGCCUACGGGAGGCAGCAGUAGGGAAUCUUCCACAAUGGACGCAAGUCUGAUGGAGCAACGCCGCGUGAGUGAAGAAGGUCUUCGGAUCGUAAAACUCUGUUGUUAGAGAAGAACACGAGUGAGAGUAACUGUUCAUUCGAUGACGGUAUCUAACCAGCAAGUCACGGCUAACUACGUGCCAGCCGCCGCGGUAAAAC
rnacentral:rRNA from 1 species